GAAAUUCCAAUCGAGCCCGGAGAUAGCUGGUUCUCCCCGAAAUAGCUUUAGGGCUAGCCUCAAGGUGAGAGAUACGGAGGUAGAGCACUGAAUGUCCUAGGGGGCAUUGCACCUACCGAAGACUAUCAAACUCCGAAUGCCGUCAUCUUAUACUUGGGAGUCAGACUGUGGGUGAUAAGAUUCAUAGUCGAAAGGGCAACAGCCCAGAUCGUCAGCUAAGGUCCCUAAAUGUAAGUUAAGUGGUAAAGGAUGUGGGAUUGCACAGACAACCAGGAUGUUGGCUUAGAAGCAGCCACUCAUUCAAAGAGUGCGUAAUAGCUCA
rnacentral:rRNA from 1 species